UCCAUCGGUCGACCUGCCUCGUGCCAGUUUAUGGGCGUCAUCAGGCCGGAAGGUGUUUCCCGUGUUGAAGCCGCCACACCUGUCUUCCAUCUAGAUUGGCCACUACUUAACUGAGCUUCAGUCAACGCUGGAUCGUUGAGUUACCGAGAACUUGGAGAGGAGUGU